UUUCACUCUCUUUUACACAAAGACACACACUCUAAUACGCAAGGAGAGAACUCUCCCUUCGGACGAUUCGCUGCUCCUCCGGCGACAGCGAGGAAGCUCCCGUCAUCUCAUCCCUGUCUGGAUACCUCUCUACUCACCUACACACAACACCAUCUCUCUCCGCUGAAUUGUCGUCGUUGUCGACUGCUCGGCAGUUUCCGUCGCCGGUUUCCGACAAUAUUAGAGUAGACUUGUCUUCCCUUUGAGUAAUCCUGGCCUGAGGGAUAGCACGGGCAAGGAGAAGGCGAAUGAGUAAAGUGAUCUAGUACGGCAUUUUGGAUUUUAAGAUUAGGUGAUCAGACUAGCUCUUUUGCUGUACAGCUGCUCAAGUCGGGUCACUAGCCAAGCUUUUGCGUUGGGUAAAUCUUUUGGAUUUGAUAAAUGUGGCAUGUAGUAGGAGUGUAAUGUACCUUGGACGUUAUAUUACUUCGUAAACUUUUGCUAAGCAUGUAUA